GUAGUCAUAUGCUUGUCUCAAAGAUUAAGCCAUGCAUGUCUAAGUACAUACUUUUACAUAGUGAAACCGCGAAUGGCUCAUUAAAUCAGUUAUGGUUCCUUAGAUCGUACGAUCCUACUUGGAUAACUGUGGUAAUUCUAGAGCUAAUACAUGCAACGGAAGCUCCGACCUGACGGAAAGAGCGCGUUUAUUAGAUCAAGACCAGUCGGGGUCUCGCGGCCCCGUCUCAUUGGUGAUGCUGGAUAACUUUGUGCAGAUCGCACGACCUCGCGUCGGCGACGUAUCUUUCAAAUGUCUGCCCUAUCAACUGACGAUGGUACGCGAUAUGCCUACCAUGGUUGCAACGGGUAACGGGGAAUGA
rnacentral:rRNA from 1 species